UUUUUUUUUGGUUUUUUUUUUGGUUUUUGUUUAAAAUAAAAGUACUAAAU
rnacentral:sRNA from 1 species